rnacentral:lncRNA from 1 species
GGUUUGGUUCUUUUCCAUUCAAUGCGCUUUUGCUCGUUUAAUUAUAAGUUUUAAGCUUUCGCAGGGAACCUCCAAUUAUUGAUUUGGAUUUGACACCUUGCAAGCAUGCACUUAUAUUAGUAACUGCCACCUCGUUCAUUUGCCAAGUGGGCAUCAUAUUUCGGUUUUGGACUCACAUUAUAGAAAGAACUUUCAUUGAACAAG